GAAGGUCCUACUCCUAGGCCCUUCUGAGCGGGCGCCGCGCCGCCGCCGCCCGUAGAGGAGCCGGGCAGCCGGCGUUCGCCGCUGCGUGGUGCAACGAGGCGCCGUUGGGGGAGACAGCGCUCGGGGGUCAAAGCGGCGAAGUGGCGGAGGCUGAGAGCUGAGGCGGAGGAGCCACUACCAUGCCGCCCUUCUUCCUAUCGUUGGACAUCUACACGGGCCCUUGACGCCUCGCGCCGCCGCAGUUCGACACCCGGGUCACAAGGUCGCCGUCUUGAGGCCAGACAGGGGCUACGCAUAUGGGGAGCAGCAGGCAUGCUAUAACCGGGAGUACAAUCUUUACUAGAUUGGUCUUCGUUUUAACUGCCACAGUGAAACUUGUCAGAAUGUACUGCAUUAUUAAUUUGCUUUUACGAACAAAAGUGACCUGACUAUUAUUAAUGAUACCAAGAAAACUAGAAACACUGUAUCUUUUGAUGUUUGUUUUUAAUUUCGGAGGCACUACUGCAACAUUUCUUAAAAUCCUUGCUUGAUUUCUGUCAUUGUGUGGUUGUAUUCUUUUUCAAA